rnacentral:piRNA from 1 species
UGUGAAUGACAGUAAGUGGGUGAAGG